ensembl:snRNA U4 U4 spliceosomal RNA
AGCUUUGCACAGUGGCAGUAUCAUAGCCAAUGAGGCUUAUUUGAGGCGCAAUCAUUGCUAAUUAAAAAAAACAUUUAAAAACACUUCGUAAUUUUGACCUAUUUGUACAUUAA